UUAAAAUCUGGCAGUCUUUGAUUGUCCGAGUUGUAAUUUAGAGAAGCGUUAUCCGCGUUGGACCGUGUACAAGUCUCCUGGAACGGAGCGUCAUAGAGGGUGAGAAUCCCGUCCAUGGCACGGACUACCAGUGCAUUGUGAUGCGCUCUCGAAGAGUCGAGUUGUUUGGGAAUGCAGCUCUAAAUGGGUGGUAAAUUCCAUCUAAAGCUAAAUAUAGGCGAGAGACCGAUAGCGAACAAGUACCGUGAGGGAAAGAUGAAAAGAACUUUGGAAAGAGAGUUAAACAGUACGUGAAAUUGUUGAAAGGGAAACGCUUGAAGUCAGUCGCGUUGUUCAGGGAUCAGCCUUGCUCUGCUUGGUGUACUUCCUGUUCGACGGGUCAGCAUCAGUUUCGACCGCUGGAAAAAGUGCGCAGGAAUGUGGCAUCCUCGGAUGUGUUAUAGCCUGUGUUCGUAUACAGCGGUUGGGACUGAGGAAUCAGCACUCGAUGCUUGGGAUGCUGGCAUAAUGGCUUUAAGCGACCCGUCUUGAAACACGGACCAAGGAGUCUAACAUGCCCGCGAGUGUUUGGGUGGAAAACCCGAGCGCGUAAUGAAAGUGAAAAGUUGGGAUCUCUGUCGUGGAGAGCACCGACGCC
rnacentral:rRNA from 1 species